UCUCUCUCUCUCUCUCUCUCUCUCUCUCUCAGAUCCAGAUCGUCGUCGUCGCCGGAUCGAUGGCGGAGGAGCUCGAGAUCCGAUUUGUCGGAGCGGGAUGGUUUCGCCGGAAAAUUGAAGAAUUCAGCCGGAGAAGAUGACCAGAAAAUAAAUAAAAAAAAUAUAAAAAAGGGUUAAGAUACAAAUACCCCCCUAAGGUAGACCCCCCUAGAGCGUUUAAACCCCCAUACUCGACUUUGGUACAAUUUGCCCCCCAACGGAGUUAAACCGCCGUUAACGGCUGGACCUAUCUGUAUAUUUUUCUUCGACUUUGGGGGGCAAAUUGUACCAAAGUCGAGUAU
rnacentral:lncRNA from 1 species